GCGCCGGCGACGCUGUCUCACCGCUAGACUACGAAUCUGGGGGUCAGGAGUUCGAAUCUCUUCGGGCGCGCCA
rnacentral:tRNA from 1 species